rnacentral:lncRNA from 1 species
UAAGGUUCAAUCACUUCUUCUGAAGAUAAUUCAAAAAAACAUUAUGACACAGGUAUGUUUUCUUCUUUAGAGUAAUGUUGUAUGAUAUUGUGUGAAAAUCAUUAAGUUUAAUAACUAAUGACAUGUCAAAUUUCUAAUUAGAUUAUUUAUGUUACACAAUUUAUAAUCAAGAAAAUUCUAACACUCGUACAUUUUAUCUUCUUCAAAUAUUACUUGUGAUCUGUAAAAUUACGCUGAAUAUGUUAUUAUUGAUGCUAUCAUGAUUCACAUCACGUAUAUCAUAAAUAUUAAUUUUCAUCAUUGUUAGUGCAACAACUAAAAUAUGUAUCUAUUGAUGCACGAAUUAUCUUAGAUAAAAAAGAAGCGGGGAAAGAUAAUUAUAACAAUUUUGACUUAACGUUUUCUAUCUUAAAUAACGCCAUUAAAUUAAAAAAUAAUAUUAUAAUAACUUGAAAGAAGUUAUACCAAAAAAAUGAGUUCAUCUUAAAAAUCUCAGUAAUGUUCACAAUUUAAUAUUUUUCUUAGCCUAAUGCACCAUCAUCAUGAGGUUUUCAAAUACACCUAAUUUGAAACAAAUUUUGUUUUUUAUAUUCUAAGAUGUCAAAUAAUUUUGUUUCAAGCACUUAUGCCUAUAUUACUGAAAGAAAAAAUUAUUUUACAUAUGAAAUAAACAAUACAAAAAUAUUUUGUAAAAAAAAAAUAAUUAUUAGAAAUAAAAUAGCUUUCAUACUCAACACAUCAUUAUAUCAUCGAUUACUUAAAAAGUUUAAAAUAGUUCCUUAAAUUUUGGACAUAUAUUCAAAAUCGUACUUUAAAUAUAUGAUGAAAGGCUAAUAAUCGUCCUAUUCAAUACCUUGUAAAUUCGUUGAUUAUUUAACAAAAGCUUGAAAUAAUCCCUUCUGUUUGGACAUAAACUCAAAACUGUCCUUUAAAUAUAUGAUGAAAAACUAAUAAUCCUCCUACUUUGCAUAUGCAUAUCAUUAAUAUCGAUAAUUAUUUUUAAAAAAUUUAAAAUAGUCCCUUAAAUUCUAAACCAAUUCUAGACUAGUGCUCUACCCGACGCCUCGGACCUUCAUCACGAACAUCCUCCGAGUACAAGAUACUUCGGGGCAUCCCCUGAUGAAUAAAUACAAUUCCUUCGGGGCAUUCCCCGGUAAAUGAAUACAAUGUCAAUUUCGUGCGAUAAACUUGAAAACCUCCAACGCAUUCAACAUUCCAUGCAUUUAACCAAAAUAUCAUUCGUAAAUUUGCCUACCCGAACCUAAACUUUGUCUAUCCAUUUCAACAUAUCAUAAAUCUAUCACCUUUAUGCUUAUUUCGAAUUAAACAAAACGACAACAAACCAAAAUUAAUCUACAUUCAACUUUUAUCAAUUUCUUAAUCCCGCCCCUCCCCCCAAAUAAUUCCAUUCAAACACACAAACAGAACACUAUUCCACCGUGCAAUCCAUAAUUACGAAAAUCAAACACCAAGUCAAAACGAACAAUAAUUCACAUAAAAGUCGCAAUAAUUAUAAAGAAAGAGGGAAAAAUUGAACCUCAAAUGUUGCAUUCGAUUAAAUUGCUCCUUUCGACUGAAACCCCGCAAACGGAACCUCGGACCGAACCUCAACAAAAUGGCCAAAAAUCAGCUCCGUACCAAAUUAACCGCAAAAAUCUCAAAGUUUAACUCGAUAUCAAUCUGAACAAUCAAUUUUGAGAUGGUUUGGCGGCUGAUUCUAGUUUUCUCGGUGAUGGGUCGAGCUGACGCCUUUGUUUUCCGGUGAAAAAGCGUGAUUUUGGGUCAGCUAUUUGGAGAUAGUGACUGGAUUGGCGACGGAAUGACGAUUCCAGCACAAUUUUAGAUCCGUUCACGGGCCCCCCCCCCCCCCCCCCCACUCAAAAAAACCCCAAAGCUUUCUCCCUCUUUUAUCUGCAUUUUUACUGUCUUCGACGUCUCUCUCCGUUUCCGAUCUCGAUUUUGCUCUCUCUCUUCGUGUGUGCGUGUAUGAGUUUUUUUGGAGGAAAAGCUGCUUCUCCACUGUCUUUUCGCGUGAAUGAUGGUGAAUCCCCUCUCUGGAAUUAUCUAUUCUCUUAAAAAGAAGAAGCAAUCAGAAGACUCAAGAUGAAUUUUUUCCCUCACUGGUGUGUUCGUAUUGUAUAUAUGAUGAUUAGAGAAAAUGGGUAUUUUUUGUCAUGUGAACUGUGUGCUCCCUUUGUUCAAGAUGCUCCUCCUCCCCCUCUUUUUCCAAUGUGCGUAGUGUAUAUAUUAUAUUCCCUAUCUGUGGAAAUUGUUAGUGAGUGAAAUGUUGUGGAAGAGUGGAGUCAAUCCGUGGGCCCCUUUCUGUUAUGGAAAAGGAAUAAUAGUCUAUAGGCAUGGUAGGUGAUUAGGAUAAGAUAAAAUUGAUUAGAAAUUUUGUUGACUUUUUGUUAUUUUUAUAUUUUUAUGGGAUAUAAUCAAACGGGUGAAGGCAUGCAGUAAGAUGAGGGUAAAUAUGAUAAAAAUGUUAUCGGAGAGGGACGAAAUUAGAUGUCUACAUCAUGCCCCCUUUGAAUGUAAACACGAAGUGUUUUCAGACAAAGAAGUAGACAACAAGACAGAAUUUUGUCCCGAUCAUUAUUCAAAAGAAGAAACAGAAAGAAGAAGAACAACCGAGUUCUGACUUAAGUCAUCCUACCCACCCAAGUUAUGGAGGAAUCAAGUGACGAUGUAUCAAAGGAUUGGAAAAAAUGGACUAUACCGAGUUGGAGAGUCGAGUGAGGUUCCAUCGAGGUUCCGUUUCGCGGCUCUGUCAUUACAUCAAAAUGAAAAUUACAAGUUAAAAACAUAAAUGAAAUUACAAAAUCCUAUCUAUACAGCUUCUGUUGGACUCUUGACUUAAGUUUCAUCACCCUAUUCUUCAGGCGGGCUCCUGACUUGCAAUUUCAUCACUUGUUGCUUGGUCUUCAAUUGCUUCACCUUGUUGCUUAACUUUUCAUUUAUUUGCCCUGUGCUUCGGGCGGGAUCCUAACUUGCCAUUUCAUCACCUUGUUCUUCAGGUAGACUCCUGUCUUGCAAUUUCAUCACCUUGUUGUUUGGCUUUCAAUUGUUUUACCCCAUUGCUUAACUUUCAAUUUCUUUACCCUAUUCUUCAGGCGGGCUCCUGACUUGCUAUUUUUCAAUCUGUUAACUUUCAACUUUUCACCUUGUUGCUUGACUUUCAACUUCUUCACUUUGUUGCUUGAAUUUUCAUUUCUUCACCCUAUUCUCCAGGAGGGCUCCUGAAAUCACAUCAAAACUAAAAAGAAAAUUAUCCCAAACAAAGAUUAUUAUAAAGAGGUUUCAUUUUCCAGAAAAGUGAAGUUCCAAACACAAGAAUUAAAUUUUGCCCAGUUUAUCAUCAAAGGACUUUUGUGAAAUUCACAUCAUUAUAGGAAUCAAAGGGAAUGACUUGACUAAAAGGUACGUCUUAUAGGAAUCAAAGGAGAUGACUCGACUAAAAGGUACGUCUUAAUAGGAAUCAAGAGAGAUGACUCGACUAAAAGGUACGUCUUAUAGGAAUCAAAGGGAAUGAUUCGACUAAAAGGUAUGCCUUAUAGGAAUCAAGGGGGAUGACUCGACUAAAGGGUACAUCUUCUAGGGGUCAAGGGAAAUGACUCGACUAAAAGGUAUGCCUUAUAGGAAUCAAGGGAGAUAACUCGACUAAAAGGUGUAUCUUCUAGGGGUCAAGGGGAAUGACUCGACUAAAAGGUACGUCUUAUAGGAAUCAAAGGGAGAUGACUCGACUAAAAGGUACGUCUUAUAGGAAUCCAGGGAAAUGACUCGACUAAAAGGUAUGCCUUAUAGGAAUCAAGGGCUAAAAGGUACGUCUUAUAGGAAUCAAAGGGAAUGAUUCGACUAAAAGGUAAGCCUUCUAGGAAUCACGGGGGAUGACUCGACUAAAAGGUACGUCUUCCAGAGGUCAAGGGGAAUGACUUGACUAAAAGGUACGUAUUUUAGGAAUCAAAGGGAAUGACUCGACUAAAAGGUACGUCUUAUAGGAAUCAAAGGGAAUGAUUCGACUAAAAGGUAAGCCUUCUAGGAAUCACGGGGGAUGACUCGACUAAAAGGUACGUCUUCCAGAGGUCAAGGGGAAUGACUUGACUAAAAGGUACGUAUUUUAGGAAUCAAGGGAGAUGACUCGACUAAAAGGUACGUCUUAUAGGAAUCACAGGUAAUGACUCGACUAAAAGGUACGUCUUCUAAGGGUCAAGAGGGAUGACUCGACUAAAAGGUACGCCUUAUAGGAAUCAAGGGGGAUGACUCUACUAAAAGGUACGUCUUAUAGGAAUCAAGGGGGAUGACUCAACUAAAAGGUACGUCUUCUAAGAGUCAAAGGGAAUGACUCGACUAAAAGUUAUGUCUUCUAGGAGUGAAGGUUCAAUUUAAGAAGUGUAUCACCCAGCAAAUGAAAACUAAAAUCCCUGGACAGCAAAGUGUAUAAGAUAAUGAAUUUUUACCAUGAUUUAAUUAUCAAACCUGUGCAGCAACAUUGCUUCCUGCAUUUGUAAAAGCGAGAAAUUAGGGGCCUUGAUGUUUAGACUUUGAAAUCCUUGAUUUGAAGGUGACAUGUGUUCCUGUUUCAUGUAAAUAAAGGUUGUGAGUUUAAAAACAUGGUGGCUGGUUUGUGGAUUUGGCUUUCAUGGCAAACGCUCUUGCCGUCAUCACAUUUAACCUUGUUUCCAACCAUUAGCCUGUGUCAUUGACUUGCUGCUUCAUUGACCAAACUCAGAUUAUUAAGAGUGACUGAGACAAACACAGCAUCUCUGCUUUUGCCAUGCUUCUCAGUAGACCCCUUGGAACCUUGGUAUUUCAUGAGUUCCCAGACUUCUCUGUUGACAAAACUUCUACAUACCCUUUUUGGCUCACAAUCAUGUCUCUUUCAUGUGCUAGCUUUUGUCUUGCUUUAUGCAAUUAAUAAAGUUGGUAGCUAGUUUUGGAAUCUUUUCUCACUUGUUUUGACACAGACUUGACUCAAAGACAAGAAAAGAAAACAGAAUGACAAUUUUUAUUUCGAUAAUUGACUCAAAGAUAAACAAAAAUAAAGAGAAGAAAGAAAAGACAAUGAAUGUCUCCAUUUGAAACAAAGAAACGACAAAUUGAUCAAAAAAAUGACAGUCAACUCCAAUAAUUAUGCCAUGCAUUUUGGAUUAAGAAGCUUGAUCUUUUCAUCCAAAUUUUCUACCAAUUAUUGUUGAGUUAACAACCUUGAAACUGAGUUGCACUUUUAAGCCAAUUGCAUUUACGACCUCAUUCGGCUAGUGGCACCUUGAAGGGUUUUCACCAACAAGCCUCUCUCAUUUUUCUCUCGGCUCACCAUCGCCUUAUGGUGCCCGUGAGGGUUUUAACCAAUAAGACUCUCUCAUUUUUAUUUCUCUCUUGAUUCCUUAUGCUGAGGAAGACAAGUAGUUCCCAAAUGCAUCAUCAUAUCCCUUGCAUGUUUAGCCUUAACAUCCUCAAAGAUUGAUCUGAAGGUCUUUCUUUAGUUGUAACUUGGCUUUCGGAUAGGAUUAGAAAGAAAGGAUGACAUAAGGCCCAAUCGACACUUGAAGUGGGGUAGGACUUACAACUUUUGGAAUCAACUCAAACGAUGAGGAUUAGCUCAUGCCCUAGUUUCUUUUGACUGGACAAUUCUAACCUAUUUAUUUGGUUGGACCGAGCCCAUGGUAGGGCAGCCUACGUAUCUCACCCCCAAGAGGAGAAUCAGGUCACGUGUAGUUCUGGCAGCUUAUUCUUUUGAUUGAUUGUGAUUUUUUUGUUGUUUUUUUCUUUUGUUAACGCUUUUCUUUAUUUUUUUGGACAUAUUUUCUUCUUCUUUUUUGAAAUUUUUCUGACUCUAUUGCUUUACUCAACACUUUUCUUUUGAGCUUUGUUGACUCUAUCUUGAUUCCAAAAGAGGGGUAUGAAAGAAAAUAGGACUAAAGCUCAAAUGGGGUAAACAAAGGAUGGCAUGAUGUUUGGAUAACAGAAUGAAAUGCCUUGUCAUAUCAAUCCUUGAAAAUGCAAGUACAUAUCAUGCAAUAUGAAAUUACACGAUCAAUAUCACUUAUGACAUGUUUUACAACACUAACUUUCCCCGAACAUGUGUACCACCUCUUCUUCUACACUUGUCGAACUUACAACUCCAUCUUUGUUGUACAUCCCUCACAUUGAAUGACUCAUGCUUUUGUGGAGUUGGUUUUUGUUCUGCUCCUCGGGAGAACACAUCUGCCAUUUGACCUAAUUGAGCUAGGUUUUUCAAUUGAUGACCAAGUUAUUCUUGUGAUUCUCAAAAUAAUUGCCUUAAUUUUUGAAGAAAGCUUCAACUUGUCACCAAAUAUCUCAACACUCCACCUAUUUUCUCAGAUGCUUUCCCUAACUUUAGCACUCUGAUUCAAAGUUCAUGGUUAAGUUAGAUUUUAAGAUCUGGCUGAAAAUUUCGCUAGCAUGUCCUAUCACUAGAAUCAACAUAAAAUGUACUGUAUAAAAAAAAUAAACAAACGACACAUAUUUAAACACAAAGGGAAAGGGACAAUUAAUUUAGUUGAAAUAAAAGAUAGAAGGGUUUUAACAUAAACGACAAAGGGACAAAACAAGAUAGAUCCCGAACUACAAUUCUAAAAUAAUUCGAAUAACAGAAAAUAAAACAAAACAAACUACUGACCUCUUCCUAGUAGGGAGAGGGGAGACUUCUCAAUUGCUCAGCCUAGCAUCUUAGCCACUGGUUUACAUAUCAGCAUGACUAGUGUUUCCCUCACUGUCAAUGUUCUACACCAUAAUUGAUUCAUCUUGAAUUAUUUUUUCAAUUUCUCUUUUCAAAGCACAACAAUCUUUAAUAUUGUAACCUUGAACAUCAGAAUGAUAUGCACAUCGUACAUUAGGAUCAAAACUUCUUGAAUAUGGGUCAGGAGUAUAUCCAAGGAGAGGAGUGAUCAUGCCUUGUUGUACCAAUCUCUGGAAUAAAAUGGCAUCGGAUUCCCCAAUAGGAGUGAAAUUAUCUUUUUCCUUCCUCCUCUUUGCCAACUCUGGCCUCGGAUGAAACUUGGAUUUAGAGGUUCCUUGGUAAAUUUGUGGGGAUCGAGGAUGAUGUUGAGGGACAGGUGUAUGCCAUUGUGGAUAAGAAGAUGGAUGAGCAUACAAUUGUGCAUUGUUCAAAGGAUAUUUAGGAAGUGGAAUAGGAUUUCUUGGAUUUUGGGGAAAGAAACCUUAUUGCAAGUGGUUAUGUAGAUCUAAUAUGUAAGCUCGGAAUUGAGGCUGACAGUAUUGGUGGGUUGGACCUCUCAAACUCUGCUUUGGCCCCGGUAUGACAAUAGGUGUGUUUUCCUUCUUCUUUCCUUCAGUUUCCCUUGGUUGAUUGUAAUGUCGUCCCAAAUAUUUCACAGAAUCCUUCUGUCCGUCAGGCUCCCCAAAUUUUGAUGUCUUAAAGCUGGGAGGAAGGUUAACACUUGAAGACAUGCCCCAGUUUUUAUAUGAAACCUCUUCAUAGCCCAUAAGUCCAGGGGAAUUUUUCAUAUCAUUUUCUACACUCUUAACUUUCCCAACCACUUUCUCUAGCUCUUCUAGCAUGCUAGGCUUCUUAGAAAAAAUUUUGGUGGUCCACUUAAUUUAACGGUAGGCUCAAGAGUAUAACAAUGAUCAUCAAGAGUAUUGAACGUGGAUUCACUAGUGGACUAGGAAAGCACAAUCGUUGAAUUGAUAGCCAAAGUAGAAGUCUUAGUAGAAGGUUGAGCAAUAAAAGCACAACGGUAUGUGGUGCUGUGAAUGUGGUAGACUUAUACUGAGGAGCUAAAGAAAGAGUGGUGGAAGUAUUAAGGUGCAUUUGGCAUGGAAUGGAUUCUGAGGCAUGUUGUGGUGCAUCAACAACAGUAGGAAACUGACUUUGCAAUUUUGGUGGAAGACUCAAGGUAUUUGCAGGGUCAAAAGUGGGGAACGGAGGUGAAGGCAACCCACUGGACCAAGCUCGGUACAUUUUCAUCAUUUGUUGUCUCAGUCUCAAAUUCUCUUCCCUUAAACUCUCAAUUUUUCUGACUCUUUGUUUCAUCCAUGGUGCCACUCUCUAUAUUCUUGUUGGACACAACUAAACCUUCCUUGAUUUGGUGCGAUAUGGAGGACCAGCCAGGAAGCCACAAACCAACCACCUUAAACUAACUGAACAAGAAGCAACAAAUAUGUUAGAGUUCAACCUUUUUUCGAAACCUCUUUUUUUCUUGAAAAGAUCACCGAACCCAAAAAAAGCGCCUACGUAUCUCGCCCCCGAGAGGGGAGAAUUAGGUGUGCGUAGUUCGUGAAGUCGUGCCAAAAUGGCCAAUUGAACUCUUUGUUUUCUUUCUUUUUUUUUUUCUUGAAACUUUAAGAAGAAAAGAAAAUAACAAUUUGUCAAAAGAAUUGAUGAAAAUGUUUUUGAAUUUUUCAGCUUUAACAUCUCUAUGCAAAGUGAAAUCUAUGAUUACCAAAGAAAAUCUUUUUGGGUUUUCAGUUUUAAAUUUCAUAUGAAAAUGAAACUUGAACCUAUUAAAGAAAAAUCUUUUUGUAGUUUUAUUUUAGAGAUGUAUAUGAAACACCUACUCUAAGUGAAGAGUGAAGAAAAUAUUUUUGAAUUUUUUUAAAUACGAUCCCCGAACCAACAAUAGGCUACCUACGUAUCUCACAUCUCGAAAGAGGAGAAUCAGGGGUGUAUAGUUCGUUCAGAUUGGACAAUUAAGAAUUAUAGAACAAACAAAACCUUGACUUGAGAGACACGACUGCACGAUGAAAAUAAAAUCUUUUUGAAUUUUUAAUUUGAUACUUCAUACAAAAAUGACAUCAACAGCUAUGAAAGAAAAAUCCUUUUGAUAUUUUCGUUAUACGAAAUGUAAAAAAUUUCUAACAUCUUUUUUUUGGCAUUUUUCUUUUAUAAAAACUCCUAUGAAUGAAAUUUUUUUGUUUUGAAGUUUUCAAAUUAUGAAUGCAUGCUAAACGAGACAAAGGAAAAUCUUUUUGAUGUUUUUGAGCAAAUGAGUGCAAAAGGUAAAAAAAUCUUUUUGAAUUUUAGAAUUGUGAAAAACAAAAGCCAUAAAAAACUCUAAAAACUACGAAACUAUUCUUUUUUUUCUUUUUGACUCACUUUUUCUUUCUUUUUCCUUUUUUUUUUCCCAAUUUUUCCUUGCCUACACACUCUAUUUAAAUCUAGCACAUGCUUUCCCCCAAAUCAAUCCAUCAAAUGACCAUAUUACCCUUAAAGAUGCAACAUUUAGCACGUAGGGAUGCUUUAGAGGUGAGUCUCCUACAAAAGGCUACGUGGGUCCCGCUAGGUCUCAAUAUGAUGCAGAUAAGCAUGACCUAAAGGCUGACCUACGCUGAGGUUUACUAACAAGGCUGUUCGGGGGAGAGUAUGGUCGAUAGUGGAUUGCUUUAACUGUCCACCUACUCCAUACAACCCAACGGUUCCCCCUCCUAAAAUAAGGGUGACUCAACUAUAGGUCGUGUACACACGUGUACUACGGACUUGUUGCAGAAAGAAAGACCCGGGUUAUGCAUAUGAUGCUAGAUAUAAAGAGGUAACACAUAAAGUAAAGACUGUAAACAAAGAGCACAUAGGCACUCAACAAUGAUAAACAAUAACACAAAACAACACAAACAAAAUGUUUAUACGCCUAUAGUGCUAAACUAAGUCGAUACAACUCCAAAAUAAGCUCGAAUUCUGAAAAGUCCCCAGCAGAGUCACCAAAGCUGUCACACUCCUUUUUUAACUCCGAAAAGAUUUCAUUUUUAAGUUCGAAAGGGUUUUAUUAUUAAGUGAAAAAAGAUGAGAAUUUAUUUCGAAAAGGAUUAUUUACUUUAAAACUCAGAGUCGCCACUUGACAUAAUUGGGUGUGCCAAGUCACCUUUGGGAAUCCUUUUUCAAAACUGUUUUUGACUAUUUUAAACUGAUCCGCGAACAGAGAUUCCGGUAAAGGAAUUUUGUUGAUCGAGUGGAAGGUGUUAGGCACCCCUCGUUCCCGUAGUUCGACCACGGUCGCUUGGUGGAGCAUAUCGGCUAAUUCGACACUAAGAGUGUAUAAACCACACAAAAACAUACAAACCAAUCAAACAAACAAACAAACAAAUCCAAAAUUAUAGUGUCCAGUCCAAUUAUUACAAUCCAAAAAUAUAAAAAUACGGAAAUGAAAAUCCUAUUCUAAAUCAAUUCUAGACUAGUGCUCUACCCGACGCCUAGGGCCUUCAUCACGAACAUCCUCCGAGUACAAGAUACUUCGGGACAUCCCGGUGAAUCAAUACAAUUCCUUCGGGGCAUUCCCGGCAAAUGAAUACAAUGUCAAUUUUAUGCGAUAAAGUUGAAAACCUCCAAUGCAUUCAACAUUCCAUGCAUUUAACCAAAAUAUCAUUCGUAAAUUUGCCUACCCGAACCUAAACUUUGUCUAUCCAUUUCAACAUAUCAUAAAUCUAUCACCUUCAUGCUUAUUUCGAAUUAAACAAAACGACAACAAAUCAAAAUUAAUCUACAUUCAACUUUUAUCAAUUUCUUAAUCCCGCCCCCCCCUCCAAAUUAUUUCAGUCAAACACACAAACAAAAUACUAUUCUACCAUGCAAUCCAUAAUUACGAAAAUCAAACACCAAGUCAAAACAAACAAUAAUUCACAACAUUAUUCAUAUAAAAGUCGCAAUAAUUAUAAAGAAACAUUAUUCAUAUAAAAGUCGCAAUAAUUAUAAAGAAACAUUAUUCAUAUAAAAGUCGCAAUAAUUAUAAAGAAAGAGGGAAAAAUUGAACCUCAAAUGUUGCAUUCGAUUAAAUUGCUCCUUUCGAUUGAAACCCCGCAAACGGAACCUCGGACCGAACCUCAACAAAAUGGCCAAAAAUCAGCUCCGUACCAAAUUAACCGCAAAAAUCCCAAAGUUCAACUCGAUAUUAAUCCGAACAAUCAAUUUUGAGAUGGUUUGGCGGCUAAUUCUAGUUUUUCCGGUGAUGGGUCUAGCUGACGCCUUUGUUUUCCGGUGAAAAAGGGUGAUUUUGGGUCAGCUAUUUGGAGAUGGUAACUGGAUUGGCGAUGGAAUGACGAUUCCGGCACAGUUUUAGCUCCAUUCACGGUUCCCCCCCCCACCACCACCACCACCACCAAGUUUUCUCCCUCUUUUAUCUGCGUUUUCACUGUCUUCGACGUCUUUCUCCGUCUCCAAUCUCGAUUUUGCUCUCUCUUUCUCUCCGUGUGUGCGUGUAUGAGCUUUUUUGGAGCAGAAGCUGCUUCUCCCCUGUCUUUUCGCGUAAAUGAUGGUGAAUCCCCUCUCUGGAAUUAUCUAUUCUCUUAAAAAGAAGAAGCAAUCAGAAGACUCAAGAUGAAUUUUUUCCCUCACUGGUGUGUUCGUAUUGUAUAUAUGAUGAUUAGAGAAAAUGGGUAUUUUUUUUCAUGUGAACUGUGUGCUCCCUUUGUUCAAGAUGCUCCUACUCCCCCUCUUUUUCCAAUGUGUGUAGUGUAUAUAUUAUAUUCCCUAUCUGUGGAACUUGUUAGUGAGUGAAAUGUUGUGGAAGAAUGGAGUCAAUCUGUGGACCCCUUCUUUUUAUGGAAGAGGUAGGUGGUUAGAAUAAGAUAAAUUGGUUAGAGAUUUUGUUGAAUUUUUGUUAUUUUUAUAUUUUUGUGGGAUAUAAUCAAACAGGUGAGGGCACGCAGUAAGAUGAGGAUAAAAAUGAUAAAAAUGUUAUAGGAGAGAAACGAAAUUAGGUGUCUACAAAUCUUAAAAGGACUAUUUUGAACUUCUCAAUAAUCAUCGACACUAAUAAUGUGCUGAGUAGAGGACUAUUCGUGCUCUAUUAUUAUAUAUAUUUAUGAUAGUAUUUUGAGUUUAGGUACAAACUUAAAGGACUAUUUUGAAUUUUUAAAUAACUAUUAAUAUCAAUAAUGUCUUGAGUAGAAGAUUAUAAAUGUUUCAAUAUAUAUUUUUGAGAAAAUUUUGAGUUUAUGUCCAAAUUUAGAGGACAAUUUUGAGCUGUUAUAAAGUUCGUCUAUGACGAUGCAAUGAAUAGGAGAACUAUUAGUGUUCCAUCAAAUAUAUAAAGGACAAUUUUUAGUUUGCAUAGGAGAACUAUUAGUGUUCCAUCAAAUAUAUAAAGGACAAUUUUUAGUUUGCAUAGGAGAACUAUUAGUGUUCCAUCAAAUAUAUAAAGGACAAUUUUUAGUUUAUGUUCAAAGUUAAGGCACUAUUUAAGGCCUUUUAAUUAAUAAUCAACUAUAUUAAUAAUGUGUUAAAUAUGAGGAAUUAUUAGUGUUUCAUCAUAUAUUUAAGUGACGAUUUUUACCGUAUGUCUGAAUUUAAGAGAUUAUUUUGUUAUUUUUUUAAGUAAUCGAUGAUAUUAACAAUGUGUUGAAUAAAAGGACUAUCAAUAUUCUAUCAUAUAUUUACAGGACAAUUUUCAGUGUAUGUCUAAACUUUAGGGAUUAUUUUGCAUUUUUUUUAAAUAUUCGACAAUAUUAACAAUGUAAGUAGGAGACUGUUAGUGUUCCCCAAUAUAUUUAAGUGACGAUGUUGAGUUUAUGUUUAAACUUAAGAGACUAUUUGGUCAUUCUUAAUAAUCAACCAUAUUAACAAUAUACUUAGUAGGAGAGUUAUUAGAACUCCAUCAUAUAUACUUCUCAUGUUAAUUAAUGGGAAUAUCACGAAUUGUAGUUGAGAAAGAAUAUUUUAAGAUUGCUUUGUAUUUUAACUACGCAUAAAUUAAAGUAUAUGUAUAUGAUUGAAAUACUUUUUCCUUUAUGUAUAAUAGUGAAGGCGUGAAGCCAUAUGAGCUAGUUUUAAAUGGAGGAUUAUUGUGUACGCGUGUUGCAAACACAACACAAAAAUGACAUGUAUCGUAUAUGCUAAGCUCCUUCAUCUAUGUAUGACACUUGUUAAAUAUGCUAACAUAUGACAUGUGUCACAUAUGCAAAGCUAUUCCAUGCACGUGUGAAACUUAUCAAACAUAAUAUGACACAGAAUCAAACACUGACAUGUAUCGUGCAUGCUAAGCUCCUUCACGUAUGUUUGACACUUGUUAAAUAUUCAAUGCAUGAUAUGUGUCAUAUGUAAAGCUAAUUUCAUGCAUGUGUGAAACUUGUCAAACAUGCAACAAGUUAUAUUGCAUGUUUGACAAGUUUGACACAUGCAUGGAAUAGCUUUGCAUGUGUGACGACCUAUAUCACGUGUGUCAAUAUAUACAUGGUUGACAUGGCUCAUCAAUAUGUUGACACAUAUCAUGCAUAUUAACACGUACUUAUUUCUCAAUCACUUUAUCCUGAGUUAAUACUUUUUAUUUAUGACACAAUAACACAAUUCUUCAUUUUCCACUAAAGUGAAAAGUUACUUAGUUACCUUAAGAAUUAUUCCAUAAACUUUAACUAAUAUUUUUUAACUACAGUUGUGUUACUAAUUAUAUACUCAACUCAAUUAUGUGAAACAUACAUCUUAUAUUUAAAGAAUCUAAUCAUCUCACAACAAUAUCAGGUAUUGAAUUAUUUCCUCGACGAUAUAACGAAAUUUACUCUUUGUUACGUUGGAAUAUCAGCGAAGCUGCUAUUUAUUUAUUAGUUGCCAGUAGCGAUGUUCCUCGUUUAAAUGGUAGGUAUUGCAAUUGUCAUGCUAAUAGUUAUUGUACAAUAAUAAUAAUAGCAUAGAAAGUUAAUUUAACUUUAUAGGGGUAAUCCAUAAAGGAUAUAAAGUAUAUGUAAAUUUUAUUUUUAUCUCAUCAAGGUAAAUAUAUUAUUUCUGAAAGAUCCUUAGCUCAAAUAAUACAUAUCAACAAAUUUAAAAGGAGAAAACAUAAGUAAUGAAGUCAUCGUAAGUAUAUAUUUUUGAUUAAUCUAAAAUUUUAUGAAAAUCAUUAAAUUUCACAGUUCAAAAGUCACAUUGAAUUUUCAAUUAUAUUGUGUAAAUUUCACAAUUUAUAAUUACUAGUUUUUUUUUUUUUUUAAAGAAACAUAUUGGAUAACAUGUGAUGCUUAGUUUGUUCUCCUCUACUUUAUGCCUCAGUAACUUUAGCGUGAGAGAUGCUGCGGCCAUGCAACCCAAAUUUAACCAGUUCAAUGUCAAAAUGCGUCUUUAUGCCUCGAAUGUUAGUUGAAAUUUGAGGAACUGCUAUUAUAAUAUAAGUAUUUUAUUUUAUUUUGAAAGUAUUAGCAUAGUUAGAAAUUUUACGAAGAACAUUCAAAUUUGGAUAAGUAAAAAAAAAUCUCGAUAAUUGAGUGCACCAAAAAUCAAAAUUAAACUACACAAUAUUUAAGUGAAUUAUAAAUAAUCUUUUAAUAGAAUUAAUAAUUCUAUAAUUUUAAACCUACAUAAAAAAGAGUUUUAAAAAUUACUUGUUGGACAAUAAAAUUUCGAGACCGAAAAAUAAAUAAUUUGAGACAAGAAAAUAUUGCAACAAUUGAUUUUAUUGAUUUCAAUAAGUGAGUGUUACAAUCUCUAUGAAUCUUUUAAUUCACCUUCGAAUAUAAAUUCAAGGGCUUAAAGCUUAGUCUUGAAUUUGAAUUUGAUUUGAUGGACUUGAGGGACUUGAUCUUGACUUGUGCUUGAAUUCAAAAGCUUUUGAACUUAUUCUUGAAUAUUGCGGUUUUGAUCUUGAACUUUGAUGAACUUGAUUUGAAUGCUUGAGUUUUUUAGAGAAAUUGUGGCAUUUGAUCCACGAGUUUUCUCUUGUUACUUGUUAGAGUUCUGGAGGUCUUCUUUCUGAAUUAUGAGCCCCUAUUUAUAGAUGUAGGAAAGAAAGAGUCAUGAUGAAUAUAGACUUUCUUCGACCAAUCAGAUUAAGUGAUGUGGCGCCUUUUAUGGGCUUUUAUUUCAUGGGUCUGUUGCAUCAGUUUAACAUGUGGCACGGUCUUAUUGUCUCCUUUACUUGACUUGGCAUGCCACGUAAUUUGACACAUGAAGCUUAUUUGGGCCUCUAAAAUAUGACAAUAUAUUGGGCUUAAUAAAGUGGGCUCAUCAUUUGUAGCCCAAAUUAAUGGACUACAAAACUCUCUCAUUUUUUCCAUGAAUUUUUACACUUAAGACCCAUUGGUAAGGCAUGAUAUCCAAUUUCAAACAGAUUUUGGAAGACUUUUUCAUCGCCUUACUGAAUUAGGAAUAAAAAUCUUCCGAUUUGAACUUAGAUUGGAGAAACAAAGAACCUCCAAUUUGAAUUUGUAUGGGAGAAGGAAAUAAUCUCCAAUUUGAAUUUGGAGUUUAAAGUCAUUCCAAUCUGAAUUUAUAUUGGAGAAGAAAAAAAUCUCUAAUUUGAAUUUGGAGAUGGAAGCUAUUCCAAUCUGAAUUUAUAUUGGAGAACCAAACAAUCUCCAAUUUGAAUUUGGAGAUGAAAAUUAUUUCAAUCUGAAUUUAUAUUGGAGAAGAAACAUCCCUCUUACAACUCUAUAAAAGGAGGUAGUUUCUCCACUUUUUCAAUAUCAAUUUUGGGGUUUCCAAGUCAUCACUAAUAUCGAGGUAAUUUCUUUUGCUUCCACUUUUCUCUUAUUUUCGUCACUUUUUUUCAGCACAGCAUGUUAGUGGUAGAAAAUUCACAUCUCAUUGUAGGAAUAUUGAAAUCAUAAUCUGUUUGAUUUUACAGAAACAAGACUUCAAGAUCUACAACAUAUUCAAAAUUCAGAAUUAAAAUCCUUCAAUAUAAUUCUUGAUAAUUUUUUGAAGUUAGCCCUGAAUUUUAUCAUGCUGAAAAUUUCAAAUCUGCGCAUCUUUACUAAAACUUUCAUAUCUUGAAGUAGGAAGGAUGAAAUUUCAAGACACUUGAUUCUUGUAAAACUAAACACAAAUAUCUAUAACAUAUCCAAAAUUUAUAAUUUAAUACAAUCGAGAUAUUUUCAGGUGUUAUUCCGAAAUCAACAUUGAGUUUUGAUGCAUCAACAAUUUCAGAUUUACGCGACAUCACCAAAAAAAUUAUAUCUCAAUGUGAGAGUACCAAAAUUAUGAUCCGCUUAAUCCUAUAGAUGCCAGAAACAUGCAUGUAUAACAUAUCAAAAAUUUAGAUUUUAAAACCUUUUUUAUUGUUCUAGAUGAUUUUUUGAAGUCCAUCUUAUAUGCUGUCCGAUAGAGGAUUUCAGAUUUGCAUUGUCUCACCAAAUAAUUUAUUUCUUGAUGUGGGACCAUCACCACCAAAGGGCGUUUUUAUCACCUCAAACCAGAUUUUGAGGGCUUUAUUCUCAUCAAGGCAUCUUGUCUCAAUCCAAGUUGGUGAUAUACAACUUUUAAGAUCACAACGCUUUGAUAGGUAACCUCCUUUCUAUUUGUGUUUUUGCUUUUUUUUUUUCCGGAGAAUUGAAACAAAUAGCAAUAUGCAACAAUCGGCUUAGGAUGCGAGAGUUUAACUUCGCCUCCGUCACCUUAAGUCCGAUCAAUUUUACUUGAAGACGGUGGACAUCGGCUUAAGGUGCGAGAGUUUAACUUUGCCUCCGUCACCUUAAGUCCGACCAAUUUUAUUUGAAGACGGUGGACAUCGGAUUAAGGUACGAGAGUUUAACUUCGCCUCUGUCACCUUAAGUCCGACCAAUUCUACUUGUAGACGGUGGACAUCGGCUUAAGGUGCGAGAGUUUAACUUCGCCUCCGUCACCUUAAGUCCGACCAAUUUUACUUGAAGAUGGUGGGCAUCGGCUUAAGGUUCGAGAGUUUAACUUCGCCUUUGUCACCUUAAGUCCGACCAAUUUUACUUGAAGACGGUGGGUAUCGGCUUAAGGUGCGAGAGUUUAACUUCGCCUCCAUCACCUUAAGUCCGACCAAUUCUACUUGAAGACGGUGCAAUGAUUUCCUUGAAGUAUAGGCCUAUUUCAAUGUUAAGCUUAAGGUGCAAAGGGGCAAAUCUUGUCCACCUUAAGGCAUGAAAAUUUCGAUAUCCUUUCAAGGAUAAAUCUGUGAGAGUCCAGCUUAAGGUGCAAAGGGACAAAUUUUGUCCACCUUAAGGCAUGGAAAUUUUGAGAUCCUUUUAAGGAUAAACCCGUUAGAGGCCAGCUUAAGGUGUAAAGGGACAACUUUUGUCCACCUUAAGGCAUGAAAGUAUCGAUAUCCUUUUAAGGAUAAACCCUUUAGAGGCCAUCUUAAGGUGCAAAGGGACAAUUUUUGUCCACCUUAAAGCAUGGAAGUUUCGAUAUCCUUUUAAGGAUAAACCCGUUAGAGGCCAACUUAAGGUGCAAAGGGACAACUUUUGUCCACCUUAAGGCAUGGAAGUUUCGAUGUCCUUUAAGGAUAAACCCGUUAGAGGCCAGCUUAAGGUGCAAAGGAAUAAUUUUUGUCCAUCUUAAGGCAUGGAAGUUUCAAUGUCCUUUAAGGAUAAACCUGUUAGAGGCCAGCUUAAGGUGCAAAGGGACCAUUUUUGUCCACCUUAAGGCAUAGAAGUUUCGAUGUCCUUUAAGGAUAAGCUUGUUAGAGGCCAGCUUAAGGUGCAAAAGGACAAUUUUUAUCCACCUUAAGGCAUGAAAAUUUUGAGAUCCUUUUAAGGAUAAGUCUGUUAGAGACCAGCUUAAGGUGCAAAGGGACAAUUUUUGUCCACCUUAAGGAAUGAAAGUCUCGAUGUCCUUUAAGGAUAAACCUGUUAGAGGCCAGCUUAAGGUGCAAAGGGACAAAUUUUGUCCACCUUAAGGCAUGAAAAUUUUGAGAUCCUUUUAAGGAUAAACCCAUUAGAGGCCAGCUUAAGAUACAAAGGGACAAUUUUUGUCCACCUUAAGGCAUGAAAAUUUCGAUAUCCUUUUAAGGAUAAACCCGUUAGAGAACAGCUUAAGGUGCAAAUGGACAACUUUUGUCCACCUUAAGGCAUGGAAACUUCUGUUAUCCUUUUAGUUAUAGGCUUGGAGAACUUUAGCAUUCCAAAUUCCAUUGAAGGAACUCUUUUUUUUCGACGAGCUGCCCCCAUUGAGUCACAAAUAUUUGGAGUAAGUCCAAAAUUAAAAUAGUUUCAUACUUGGAAUCCAUAUGACAGACACUAUAGGAACAUAUUUUUUUGACUCAUGCAACUGAACUCGGAAUAAGAUUCCAAGCGCCUACGUACCUCAAUGAAGAGGAUCAAGUCACAACGUAGUUCUGGGUGAAUAUUUUUUUUUGUGUGUCCUAACUUUUGCCUAGGCCGCCUCUUUCGAGGUUUUCAACCUAGCGGACUUUUUUGUUAACCGUACACAGUUUAUACUCUUGCGUUCCAGAAGUGGAAAUGCAGUUUAUACUUGUGCCUUAAGGAGUGUACAUGCAGUUUAUACUCGUGCCUUAAGGAGUGUACAUGCAGUUUAUACUCAUUCCUUAAGGAGUGUACAUGCAGUUUAUACUCGUGCCUUAAGGAGUGUACAUACAAUUUAUACUCGUGCCUUAAGGAGUUUCAUCUUCCUUCAAGGAUAGUACUUCUUCAAGGACUUGGCAUUGAUGGGGCUAAUCCUCACGCCAUCUGCAUAAACAAGCUUGUAAGCACCAUUUGAAUAUGCCUCUUGUACGACAUAUGGUCCAUCCCACUUCGAGGUGAAUUUGCCCCCAGAUUUACGAGAAAUGAUAAUGGGCCUUCUUACUGCAAGAACUUGAACUCCAACUUGGAAGCACCUCAAACGAACCUUUUUGUUAAAAAAAGAGACAGCCGGGAUUGAUAACAUUCAAGAUUUUAUUGAGCCUCCAGCUUCUUCUCGUCUAGAGCUUCUAACUCCGCAAGACGCAACUUAGCAUUUUCUUCAUCGGUGAGCCCUUCUUGAAUAGACAGUCUCAAAGAAGGUAUUUAACGCUCAAAUGGCAGAACUGCUUCAACUCCAAAAGCAAGUGAGUAUGGGGUUGCUUGUGUUGGUGUACGGUAAGUUUUCCUAUACGCCCAUAAAGUUUCUUUCAUUCGCUCAUGCCAGUAUCGUUUGGAUUUGGAGAGGACUUUCUUCAACAAGUUGCAUAAAGUCUUAUUGAAGGCUUCAGCUAGACCAUUGGCGGCAUCAUGAUACAUUGAAGACUUGCGCUGCUUGAAGCCAAAGAGGUCACAGAUCUUGUUCAUCAACUUGUUAUCAAACGACUUGCCAUUGUUAGUUAUUAUAUAUUGAGGGAUUCCAAAGCGGUAGACGAUAUUCACUCGAAUGAAGUUCGCAACAUUUUCUUUCUUUACUUUCUUGAGAGCAACAGCUUUGGCCCAUUUUGAUAAGUAAUCUGUCGCAGCCAAGAUGUAUAAAUUUCCACUAGAAGACUUUGGUAGUGGACCAACAACAUCUAUUCCCCAAGCAUUGAAUGGACAAGGUGCUACAGUUGGAUGUACCACCUCUGGAGGUUGAUGUAUGAAAUUUGUAUGGAAUUGGCAAGCUUUGCAUCUUCUAGCCUAGUCCAAGCAAUCUUUCACCAUCGUUGGCCAAUAAUAUCCUAUCCUUUUUAAUGUGAAAAUGGAGCUUCGGUCCAAACUGAUGUGAUCCACAAACUCCCGAGUGCGCUUCUUGCAAAGCUUGAAUUAUUUCUUCCUCUCCCAAAUACCGUAAGAGUACUCCUUCAAAUGAUUUUCUGUACAGUGUGUCUUUGUAGUAAAGAAAGCGAGGUGCACAACGACGAAUGUCAGUCUUUCUCUUUGGAUCUUCUGGAAGUAAGUAAUCAAUAAUAGGUUGUCGCCAAUCUUCUUUUACAGCUUCAGACACGGCAACGAGGUAUUCAACCUUGUUUUCCACAUCCUCAUCUGACGGCGGUACUACCCAUUCUUGGCGGACAGUAACUUGGGUCUGAUUUGAAAGAGUUAGGGUUGAGGCCAGAGCAGCUAGGGCAUCAACUUGCUUAUUUUCUCUUCUUGGCACAUGUUGCUUAUUUUCUCUUCUUGGCACAUGUUGGCACAUGUUGGAGGGUUACUCCUCCAAGCCACCCAUAUCUUGGCACAUGGUCACAGCUCAGACUUUCUAACUUCAUAGCUUCCCAAAAGCUAUUUGAUCACCUUGGGCGUCACUAAAGACUUGUAAUUGCAGUUGUUUCAUGUCCACUGCCAUCUCGAGUCCAAGUAUUAAAGUUUGAUAUUCAGCAACAUUAUUAGAGCAAUGAUUUAUUAGGGUAAAAGAGUAUGGAAUGACCUUUUCUUGUGGAGUGACGAACACCACUCCGGCACCAGCUCUAUCUCGAUGUGCGGCACAAUCAAAGUACAUCUUCCAUGGGGUCUAGCUUCAAUGACCAUUGCAUCUUCAUCAGGAAGUUCAUCGCUCAAUUUCCAAUCAUCAGGUAUCAGGUGGUCUGCUAAGAAAUCAGCCAAUGUUUGUCCCUUUAUGGACUUUUGGAGAACAUACACAAUCUCAAACUGUUGAAAUUGAAGGUACCAUCUUGCAAGUCGGUCACUAAGGACAGGUUUUGACAUUACAAACUUGGUAGGAUUUGCCCUAGACACGAGAUGAACCACAUGAGCUUGAAAAUAGUGUUUCAUCUUUUGAAUUGAGAAGUCCAAUGCACAACAUAACUUUUCAAUUGGAGAAUACUUUAGCUUAUUUGGUGUCGUCAUUCUGCUCAGCUAGUAAAGAGAGUUUUCUUUGCUUUCACUAUUUUCUUAAGUCAGUAGUGCUCCAACCAACCUUUCUUGUGCCGUGAUGUAGAGUAUCAACGGCUUCCCAGGUAUGUGUGUCGCAAGAACUGGAGGUUUCAUUAAGUACGAUUUGAUACUCUCAAAGGCAUUACUACAAGCUUGGUCCCAUUCGAAGGGAGUGUCAUUCUUCAUAAGACGACUGAAUGGUUGACAUUUUCCAGCCAGGUUUGAGAUAAACCUCCUUAAAUAUGAUAGCCUUCCUUGAAGGCUUUUUAACUCAUGAAUAUCCCAAGGCUCGGGCAUCUUCAAAAAUGCAUCUAUCUUAGCUUGAUCAAUUUCAAUUCCUCGGUAUCGCACAAUGAAGCUAAAAAAUUUUCCUGAAGUAACUCUGAAGGCACAAUUCAAUGGAUUCAUCCUAAGUUGAUAACUUCGAAGUAACUCGAAUACCAUUCUUUGGUCUUUUAAGUGGUUGUCUUCCUUUCUUGACUUCACCAUUAGAUCAGCCACAUAGCAUUCAAUAUUUUAUGGAGCAGGCCGUCAAAGAUGUUCUACAUAUCCCUUUGAUAACUGGCGCCAGCGUUCUUCAAACCAAAAGGCAUCACCUUGUAGCAAUAAAUACCUUUAGGCGUAUGAAAUACAGUGAGUUCUUCACCUUUGGCGCCAUACGUAUUUUAUUGUAGCCGGAUGAACCAUCCAUGAAGGACAUUGCCUCAGAAGCAGUGGUGGCAUCAAUCAUUAACUUCGGUAUGAGGAUUGGAAAAUCAUCCUUAGGGAAUGCGUUGUUGAGAUCUCGAAAGUCGACACAAACUCGAAUUUGGCCAUUAUUCUGCCGUACUAGAAAAAUACUUGAAAUCCAUGUGGGAUAUUUGACUUCACAAAUAAAGACAGCUUCAAUAAGUUUGGUAACUUCAUUUCCGAUCAGUGGAACCAACUCUGACCUAAAGCAUCUUUGGGCUUGCUUAAUAGGAUGGACACUAUUCUUGACUGCCAACUGAUAGACCACUACUUUUGGAUCUAAGCUAGCCAUUUCCUUAAAGCUCCACGCGAAGACAUCCAUAUAUUCUUUGAGUAUGUCCAUAUAAGCGAUUUCCUCCCCUACUUCUAGAAACGUACUCAGGUAAGUUGGUCUUGGUUCUUCAUCGGUUUCAAGAUUAACUUCAUUUAAGGGAUCUAGUAUAGCCUUUACUCCUUCUUCAAGUUGUGAUGGAGCAUCUUCAGCAUCUUUCUCUUCUUGAGGAUCAUCGUCAUUGACGGAUAUAUGAUAACACCAAAAGGCAUUUCCUAUUUCUUCAUCAACUUUUAUUUGAGAUGAGACAUCUUUCUCGUUCUAGGUCAUAACAUGAUAUGAGGAGCCAACACUCUCUUCAUCUUCUUUGCAUUGCUUGGUAUAAACCACAGUAUGCGCCUUCGCUUUUAACACCUCAUUGCAUGAAACUACUAGUUCCUUCUGUCGCUUCAUUCUAGAAGGAAUCAAACUUUGAAAAUCCUUCUGGAUUUUAAAUGAAGAGUGUUGCAUUUUUCUUUGACGACUUCUUUGACGCUUGUUGUUUUUCUUCUUAUUUAUAUGACCCAACCUUUCGAACACAGAAGUUCUUGCGGUUGAUUCUCCAAGUCGAUUAAAUACAGAGGGUCUUUUAUUAGCGUCAGUGGAUUCUUCUUCUACGGUGAUGUAAUAACUGACUGCCCUUCGUAUGGAGAUGCGAAUUGGAGGUGGCUGCGCGUAUCCUAGCCCUUCACGUGCUUGUCUGGUGUUACUCUCCGAUGGAAGUUUGCCCAACCUUGAUGGCUCAUUAGGAUUGUAUCCAACCUUUACAAAUAGCUUGUAUGCAUUUGAAUCAAAGCCCUCUUUUGUAUGCUUCGUAGGGAGUGCCAUAUCUGGUGGCGGAUUUUGAGCCACAGAUUCUCCAAGUGUCCUUGAGGAUGGAUUUAUUGCAUCAAUCUUCCUGAUAGGUAAAGUUAUCCCCUUUAGCACAUUAUCUUGGGCAUCAGGUGAGUGAUCUUCCUCUUUCUUUACCUUUGGCACGUAGCGAAGAACAGGAGCUGCCUUUUUUUUCGUAGGAGCGACAUUUUCUUUAUUCAAAGUGAAGAAGGGCUUCCUGUUGGCGAAUUUUUCGAUGGUCACUGUGACCUUCUUAGAUGCAAGAUCAUCAUACUUAGUCUUGGUGACAUCUUCAAUUUUUUUCUCAUCUAUAAUAUGAUUCUUUAAGUAGAAUUUUGCAUCGGCAAAAUGUGACUCAGCUUCAGUAAAUGGUUUGUCAUCGGAUACUAUCGUUCUUUCCACUCUAUUUUUGAGGUACUUUAAGCAUUGAUAGUAAGAGGACGAGAUAAUUUUGUUCCCGAGCACCCAAGGCCUACCAAGCAAUACAUUGUACAAAGUUUUGGCAUCGAUCACAUGCAUCAAUGGGUUUGAUUGAAAAUCAUCCAUACUAAUCCCCAACUUGAUACAUCCCAUGACCCUUUGGCCCCCUUGGUUGAAGCCUUGGAUCAUUAUACGACUUUCAUCCAGUUCGCUAGUAGCGAUGCCAAGCUCUUUUAUCGUACGGAUAGGCAGGAUAUUGACUUUAGAUCCUUCAUCUAUCAAGAUUCUAUUAAUCUUAUUUCCUAGAAUUUGACCCACCAUGUAUAAGGGACAGUUAUGUGGGGUAUCACCAAGUAGAAGAUCGUUAUUUAUGAAUGUGAUUUUUGUAUCACACACAUGUGCCUCUUCGCUAAGAGUUUCAGCAACCUUUCAAAAGAUGAAGGAACUUUCAUAGGUAGAUUCUCACUCUUUUCCCUCUCUUUGGCGAUAUUAAAACAAGAUCUCUCAAGGUCGACUUGGGCAGUCUUUACAUAAAACCAACUCGGCAAGAAUUCCUCUAAAGUCACCAUACGCCAAAGUUUUUGAGGGUGAAAAUCCGUCACCCUCGUCUUCUUUGGGAGUUCAACCAACUUCUGUUUUCUUAGUUUCUUCACCACUCUCCUUCUGGUUGGUUGCUCGUACGUCUUCUUUCGCAGACUUAUCUUCUUGCGUCUGCGUCUAGUAACUAGAUUCCAACUUUCAUCAUCGUCUUCGUCAACCGAAGACCUGUCAGGCUCUAAUAUCUCCUCAUUAUGAUCUUUAACAUAAAUUUUAACCGGGUCGAGUGAUCCAAAGUGAUAGAUAUUUGAUGAGAAUUGGUUGUCUCAUCGUCGAAGAAGAUUUUCUUCUCUUUUGCCAGUUGCAUAACUUUAUCUUUAAAGACAAAGCAUUUUUUCAGAGGGUGACUUAUGAUCCUGUGAUAUUUGCAAUAAUUAGGGUCAUUAGUCCUUCCGACUUUGUUGGGACGCUUCAUCUCUGGGAGUUCGAUGAGCUUAUGCUGAAGGAGUUCAUCGAAAAUCUCAGCAACAUCAGAAUCAAGAAAGGGAUAUUCCUUUUCUUGCAUCUCCUUUAAUAUUUUCUAGUUUGGACGUGCUUCAGAAGUUCUCUUUACACUUUGCUUCUUGCUUACCUUUGUGGUGACUUUCACCGGAGACACAUCAACAUUCAUGGAUUCUUUGUUAUCAUUUUUGGGGACAAACUUACCCUAUCUUUUGGGUUCUUGCUUAUCCUUUCCCCUUCGAGGGUCAUAGAUAGGUGCUCCUUCCUUUCCAGCAGAAGACAAGCUCAAUUUCAUGUCGUGAGCAUGAGUAUCUAACUCUUCAAAGAAUUGUGGCUUAAUUCCUUGCAAGAUGUAGAGAAGCCCCCAGUGCAUUCCUUGGAUGCACAUCUCUAUUGCAGAAGCUUCGCUGAGCCUAUCUUUACAGUUUAGGCUAGCAUUUCUCCAUCGAUUGAUGAAGUCAAUGACUGGUUUAUCCUUUCUUUGCCGAGUAUUUGUGAGCUAUACCAUGCUCACUGUACGCCUUGUGCUAUAAAAGCGAUUCAGGAACUCAUAUUCUAAUUACUCCCAACUAUCGAUGGAAUUAGGCUCAAGGUCUGAAUACCAAUCAAAGGCAUUUCCCUUUAGGAAAUGAACAAAUUGUUUCACAAGAUAGUCACCGUAAGUUCCAUCAUUAUUACAUGGAUCGACAAAGUGUGUGACAUGUUGUUUCGGAUUACCUUUGCCCUCAAAUUGUUGAAAUUUGGGGGGUUGAUAGCCGACAGGCAUUUUGAGGCUAUCUAUUCUUGCAGUGUAAUUUUUGGCAUAUGAAAGGGAAGACUUAGUGAUAAAAUCAUACUUAUCUUUGAGGGUCCCUUCAAUAAAUUCCCUCAAUUGCCCAAUCAGGAUCAUUCCCUUAGCAGAAACUUGCACCUCUUUAGUCGAUGGUGUUUGUUUCACAGGGUUUUCUAUCUCAUGAAUCUCUGGAGCUUUUCCCGGUACAUGUCUAGAUUCUCUGUCUAUCAAGCCUUCCACCCUAUCCACUAUCUUAUCAAUCCUAGCCUCUUGAUUCUGAACAUAGUUGGUCAGUCCUUCAAUUGUCUUUGUCAGAUUCACAAGCUGCUCCUCCAUAGACGAGACAUCAGUUACCAUUGCUUGCAUGAUCACCGGAGAUGUUGAAGAGUAACAUGGAUUAUCACAUAAGUUGAUUUUUGAAGUGCUUAGAUUAUGUGGUAUAAGUGAAGAUGAUGCAUUGUUGAACAACCAUCGCUCAUGGCUCCAGAGUAUUUAGAACCGGAAUGCUAAAGUAGAGCUAAAGUCUUUUUCAGCGAUUUGGCCACACUGCUUCCUCCUUCUGAAGCACUUGCAUUGGAUUUCGUUCCCUUCAAGGUUGAAGAUCCAAAAAUUCGAGCUGAAGCGGAUGACACUAGAUGUGUUUGUUGUCCUAGCAAGCCUGUCUUGUUUCUUAUGACAGCUCCCAGACUUUCAAAAGUAACACCAAGGAUGCUCUCUACUUCAAUAGCAAACUUUGAAUCUGCAGCCUUGGAAGCAAUUGAUUGAGAAUUUACCUUCUUGGAAGCCAUUUCGUUGUUCUUAAACUUUGAAGUAUGAAAAGUUGAGAUGAGAGGUAGAGAUUAUCUCACUGGGCAUGCCAGAAUUUGUUGGACAAUAAAAUUUUGAGACCGAAAAAUAAAUAAUUCGAGACUAGAAAAUAUUGCAACAAUCGAUUUUAUUGAUUUCAAUAAGUGAGUGUUACAAUCUCUAUGAAUCCUUUGAUUCACCUUUUCGGAUAUAAAUUCAAGGGCUUAAAGCUUAGUCUUGAAUUUGAAUUUGAUUUGAUGGACUUGAGGGACUUGAUCUUGACUUGUGCUUGAAUUCAAGAGCUUUUGAACUUAUUCUUGAAUAUUGCGGUCUUGAUCUUGAACUUUGAUGAACUUGAUUUGAAUGCUUGAGCUUUCUAGAGAAAUUGCAGAGUUUGAUCCACGAGCUUUCUCUUGCUACUUAUUAGAGUUCUGGGGGUUUUCUUUCUGAAUUAUGAGCCCCUAUUUAUAGUUGUAGGAAAGGAAGAGUCAUGAUGAAUAUGGACUUCCUUCGACCAAUCAGAUUUAAGUGAUGUGGCACCUUUUAUGGGCUUUUAUUUCAUGGGCUUGCUGCAUCAGUUUGACAUGUGGCACGGUCCUUUGGCUCCUUCACUUGACUUGGCGGCAUUUGACACGUGACGCUUAUUUAGGCCUCUAGAAUAUGACAAUAUCUUGGACUUAGUAAAGUGGGCUCAUCAUUUGUAGCCUAAAUCCAUACUUAUUUGGACUUAAAUAACUAAUUCAAUUAUAUUAAUCCGCAAUAUUUAUUUGGGACGAAUAUAUUUUGAAUUUAAUAUAAUUCAAAUUUUGUACGGAUUUAAAUUUAAUAAAAUUGCAUCACCUACAUUACUAUCGAACAUAUAAUUCAAAUUUUCUUUGACAUGACAAGUUUGUUUCUUCUCCGGAAUAAGAAGUUCACGACCCGUGGGCCUUCUACCUUCACGCAGCAUUGCUCCAUCAGGCUUUCACCCAUUGCAAAAAAUUCCUCAUUGUUGCCUCCCGUAGGAGUCUGGGUUGUGUCUCAGUCCCAGUGUGGUUGAUCAUCUUCUCGGACCAGCUAUGUACUGAUCAUCACCUUGGUAAGCUAUUGUCUCACCAACUAGCUAAUCAGACACGAGCCCCUCCUCAGACGGAUUCCUCCUUUUACUCCUCAGCCUACGGGAUAUUAGCAGUCGUUUCCCGCUGCUGUUCCCCCUAAGGACAGAUUCUUACAUGUUUCUCACCUGUCCACCACUAAAAACACCAUUUUUUGUGUUUUUCGUCUGACUUGCAUGUGUUAAGCAUGCCGUCAGCAUUCAUAUUGAACAUGACUAUUUUUUUUUAAAAUUAAAACAUGGCGUUUUAGAUUGAGGAAAUUCUAGAAAUAACAAUCCCCUAGCUUAAAUUAAUUUUUGGUAGCAACAUUAUCCUAAUUACUAGAGAUAGCAACUUUUAUCCUGGAUGUAAUACACCCAAAUUGUAUUUGUCUUAUUUUUUGGUGUAAAUACAUACAUAUAAAUCUAUAAUCUAUAAUCUAUAAUCUAUAUCUAUAAUCUAUAAUCUAUAAUCUAUAAUUUAUAAUCUAUAAUUUAUAAUCUAAAAUAAUAUAAAAGUGUGAAGGGCUUUGGAAGUGUUGUUUGAAUUUUUUACCCUUCAUUAAAAUAUUCCACUCUAGACAAAAUCGUUUUUUCACCCUUUUUCAAUUAUUUUAAUAAUAUUAAAUCUUGACUAUAUUACCGAAAAAACAAAACCUUUCCUUAAAAAAAUAUAAUUCCUGAAAUCAAUCCUUCCCCAACGUGAAAUUAAAAUAAUAAUAAUAAUUUUAAAAAAAUCCCAACGUGAAACCAAUCCUUCUCCAACCUGAAACCAAAAAAAUAAUAAUUAACUCCUCCACCCACCAACAACGUGAAACCAAAAAAAUAUAUAUAAUAAAAAAAAUUAUAAUUUAAAAAACCCCAUAAAUAAUAUAAUAAUAAAAAAUUGUAAUUAAAAAAUCUCAAAAAUAUAAUAAUAAAAAAUUGUAAUUAAAAAAAAGCCCAUUCCUAUGUGAAACCAAAAAAAUAAUAUAAUAUAAUAUAAUAAUUAAAAAAUUGUAAUUAAAAAAAACCUCACCCCUACGUGAAACCGCAAAACAAGUAUAAUAUAAUAAUUUUUUUAAAAGAAACUUCUCCCUCAAAAGACUUUACAAUAGAUAAAAUCAUAUUUUUAAAAUUUUUCCUUCAAUUAUUAUUUAUUAAAUUAAAGAUUAAGGUCUCUUAAAAUAAUAAAAUAUAUAGGAAACUGAUAAUAAAAUAAAUACAUGAAAAGAAAUUAAGAGUCCUAAAAUAUAAAAAAUAUAUUUCUUGAAAAAAAAAAUUAUCAUAAAUAUAGCUAUUAUGAUGUACCUAAAUUACUUGAUAACUUGGUAAGGUAAUAUAACCUUGUUUUUAUUGAAAAAUUACGAUUAAUUUUGAAAAAAAAAUAGAGUUGCCUACUACAUUAAAAAAAUUAUCAUACAAUUAUAGGCACAAUAGUACAUAUAUAAACAUUAAUAUAAAUUAUAUAGGAGUCGAAUGCCAAAAAUUUCAUUUAUGAAUUCUUUUUUUUUGUGUUCAGUCUCGAGCUUGAAUUUAUACUUUAUAGGAUCAUGUUUUUUUUUUUUGCUUAUAUUGAGUUUGUUCGAUGAGUAUUUUUUUUUAUAUUUUCUCCGUACUUUGGACUUUCUUUUAUAAUUGUCAAUCUUGUGUGAUUAUUUUCUUUAUGUUUAAUUUGUGUGCUAGCUUACAAUUGAAUUUUUAUGAAAAGAGUGGUGUGUAUAACUCUUAAACAUGUUAAUAACCUUCAAUUUUAUUUCGAAUGUAGUGUACCCAUGAGACCAUGAUCAUGAAGAGCAUGGAAACAAACACCAAGUUGUUGAAAUUAUUGACAUUCAAGGUAUUACUAUUUACAUUAAAUCUUCUCAAUUGGCAAUUAUCUAUCAAUAAUAUAUGAUAAUUUAUUAUUGUUAACUUCAAAAACAUAUUAAGAUUUUAGAAAACAUAACUUAAAUCAAAACAACUUUAUCUCUAUAAUUAUUGAUACUAUCAAGAGUUAAUUGAUGAUAAAAUUCCGUAUCUAAAUAUGUUCUUUUUUCUUCCUGCGGUAGUUUGCUUACAAUUGAAUUUUUAUGAAAAGAGUGGUGUGUAUAACUCUUAAACAUGUUAAUAACCUUCAAUUUUAUUUCGAAUGUAGUGUACCCAUGAGACCAUGAUCACGAAGAGCAUGAAAAUAAACACCAAGUUGUUAAAAUUAUUGACAUUCAAAGUAUUACUAUUUACAUUAAAUCUUCUCAAUUGGCAAUUAUCUAUCAAUAAUAUAUGAUAAUUUAUUAUUGUUAACUUCAAAAGCAUAUUAAGAUUUUAGAAAACAUAACUUAAAUCACAACAAAUUUAUCUCUAUAAUUAUUGAUACUAUCAAGAGUUAAUUGAUGAUAAAAUUCCGUAUCUAAAUAUGUUCUUUUUUCUUCCUGCGGUAGUUUUUGAAGAAUAAUCUAAAUCUAAAUAAAGAGAGAAAAUUAAUAUAAAUAUUAUUAAUUAAUUGAUUAAAGUUAUCUUAAUUUUAAAUAGAUUAUAAAUCUAAAUAAAAUACUAAAUUUUCAUUUACUUCUUUUUAGGAAUAUAAUUUUUUACCACAAAUUGCAAGAUUUUGAUCGAUUUGUUGAAAUCUAAUUAAAGUAAUGGUAGGGUUUACCGUGCUUCUUUUCUUAUUUUACUUUUCAUUCUUGGUUGUGUUAAAUAUUUAUACUAAUAGUAUUGUUAUAAAUCUAUAUUUAAAUAAAAAUAUAAAUUAUUUUAUUACUUUGGAUACUAAAAAGUAGCUUAAUUUCAUCAAACAUAUGACAUAAGCAGAUGCCAUUUACGAUGACAUUUUUAGUGUGAAGAACAAUAAUUAACAGAGUCCCAAGAAAUGAGAUAAUAUUAGCAAAGUUUGAAAUAACACUCAAUUAAAGUGCUAUUACAAUCAAUUUAAGUGGUAUGAAAUUUGUAGGUCAAAAAAUAUUUAUUUUUACUAUUUAAAUCAAUAUCUUAUUUAAUGUAACAUUUAAAUUCAUUAAAAUGAGAUACACGCGCAAAACGUGUACAUCUAAAUUAGUAGCUAAAUAAAUAGAGACACAAUAAAAUAAGAAGAGUAUUUUUUUAUUGUUGCUAAAGUCACACAUAAGACUUUAAUGGAAGAUUAUGUAAUCAUAUAUAAUGUUGCAUUAAAGAUUAUUCUGUUAUAAAUGUAUUUAUAUUAUAGUGAAUGUGUAUCAAGAUCUAUCAAGAUCUACUUUGAUAUCUAUUAGGAUUUGAAGCAUCCGUCUUUUACUCAGACUAGGAGUAAAUUUUUCCUAUAAAUAGAGAGGUUUUGUUCAUUGUAUUGACAAUCUAAUGAUCUCUCAUCCCUCAAGAGAAAAAAUAAGAAACACUCUCUCUAUUCUCUCUACUCUUCUUCUUUAUUCUUUCUUGGUUUAUAACACGUUAUCAGCACGAGACUCUACCGUCUUAAAAGACAAAAGCUAAAACUAAGGUAAAAUUCUUGGAGUACAAGGUAAGUACGAUACCUUAAAAUUAUCCGAGUUUGAGCUUCUAUUAAACAAUUACAUUAUCAGUUUUACUCGGAGAAAUUGAUUAAUAUUGUAUUUUUUGUUAGAAUUAUUUGGUUACUCAAAAAAAAAAAGUUAUUUGAUUGCUUUUAAUUCACCCUUUUACUGUGCUUACUUUUCUUAAAAGACUAAAAUAAAUAAAUAUAUAUAUAUAUAUAUAUAUAUAUAUUUAUAUAUAUAUCCUUAUUUGCUGAAGUGGGCAAAAUCAUCAUUGUAACUAACCUAUUUAUAUUUGUUUGAUUUAAUUAACUUUGAAGUUUCUUUAGAGUAUUUUGUCAGUCGUGUAUUUAUGCUCUAUAUUGUUACUACAUGUCAUUAAUUUUAAUGAUUUUCUAAAGAAUUUUUGGAGAUUUUGUUUUCUUUUUAGCAAUUAGAGGAGUUUGUAUAAUGAUUACGCCUGUAACUAUCAAAAGUAAUACAGACUAAAGGUUGAAUUUUAUAAUAUUUUGACUUAUUGUACCAUUGAGUCGGUAAAAAGGUGAAUUUAAUUUCAUCACACAUAAGUAAGCUAUCGGAUUCGGGUUAGUGUCAUGAGACUCUGCCAAACAAGGUGAGAUUAUAAAUCUGAAGGAUUUCAAGGUUAGUAAUUCCUUAUGUUAUUUGUCUUUUGCUACUAAUAAUAUAAUUAUUGUUGGAUUUGAGGAAAAAAUAAUUGGUUUGGAACCAUUAUGUUUUAAAGUUUAAAUGUAUUCCUCGAGAACAAUAUUAUCAAAAAUGAUGAUAAUAUGUUGGGUUUAAGUCCCGUCAAUUUAUGCCUAAGACGCUUUUAUAUGGGCAAGACGUUGAGUUUGAAUCUCAAUGCAUCAUAUUGAUGAUAUUAUGAUGGGUAAGGCAAAAUAAUGUGUUUUUAAUGAAAAUUCAUGAAAUUCGACCCAUUGAAUAUGCUCAAUCCCAUGAAGUGAAUGUGGUAGCAAUAUAUGAUAAGUCUGAAAUAUGACAACUUACUUCAUUCUUGAGAUGUAUGUGGUAGCAGUGCAUAAUAUGUCUGAAAGAAGACAAGUAAUUGAAUGCACGAAUAUACGCAUGGAGGGAUAAUAUGAUAAUGAUUAUCAAAAAUGAUGAUAUUUUCACACGCUUAUAUGAUUAUAAGAUAUGCUAGAGAAAAAUUCUCUACAUUAUAUGUAUGCCUCGAUUUGCUUCUGAAGUAGCAAAAUCUUGAAAGAGGUUAUAAGCUAUCAUAAUUUGAUAGACUUAAGGCACGAUUAUAUUCCAUUCCUGGGGAAUGANNNNNNNNNNNNNNNNNNNNNNNNNNNNNNNNNNNNNNNNNNNNNNNNNNNNNNNNNNNNNNNNNNNNNNNNNNNNNNNNNNNNNNNNNNNNNNNNNNNNNNNNNNNNNNNNNNNNNNNNNNNNNNNNNNNNNNNNNNNNNNNNNNNNNNNNNNNNNNNNNNNNNNNNNNNNNNNNNNNNNNNNNNNNNNNNNNNNNNNNNNNNNNNNNNNNNNNNNNNNNNNNNNNNNNNNNNNNNNNNNNNNNNNNNNNNNNNNNNNNNNNNNNNNNNNNNNNNNNNNNNNNNNNNNNNNNNNNNNNNNNNNNNNNNNNNNNNNNNNNNNNNNNNNNNNNNNNNNNNNNNNNNNNNNNNNNNNNNNNNNNNNNNNNNNNNNNNNNNNNNNNNNNNNNNNNNNNNNNNNNNNNNNNNNNNNNNNNNNNNNNNNNNNNNNNNNNNNNNNNNNNNNNNNNNNNNNNNNNNNNNNNNNNNNNNNNNNNNNNNNNNNNNNNNNNNNNNNNNNNNNNNNNNNNNNNNNNNNNNNNNNNNNNNNNNNNNNNNNNNNNNNNNNNNNNNNNNNNNNNNNNNNNNNNNNNNNNNNNNNNNNNNNNNNNNNNNNNNNNNNNNNNNNNNNNNNNNNNNNNNNNNNNNNNNNNNNNNNNNNNNNNNNNNNNNNNNNNNNNNNNNNNNNNNNNNNNNNNNNNNNNNNNNNNNNNNNNNNNNNNNNNNNNNNNNNNNNNNNNNNNNNNNNNNNNNNNNNNNNNNNNNNNNNNNNNNNNNNNNNNNNNNNNNNNNNNNNNNNNNNNNNNNNNNNNNNNNNNNNNNNNNNNNNNNNNNNNNNNNNNNNNNNNNNNNNNNNNNNNNNNNNNNNNNNNNNNNNNNNNNNNNNNNNNNNNNNNNNNNNNNNNNNNNNNNNCCAAAAGAUAAUUCAAGUCAAAUGCUGAAAACAUCUCAUAUUAAGUGCAAGUGCUCUUAUUUUGUGUUCCUAAAGGACAAAGUUUAUGCAUGCGUAAAGCGUGGUAGACUGAUCGGUUCCAAAUGAAAUAGUCCUUGAAAAAUUAUGAGCGAAUAAUCAUAAUAAGAAGGCAAUGAGCUCUUGAAGAGCCUACGACAUACCACUUCAUGAAACCUAAUGAGAGGUUCAUGUACCUGAAAAUAAUGAAGUGAUGAGAUCUCAAAUGUUAUGUCGCAUCGUGAACCGAUACAAAAUGAUAUAUCAUCAAUAUCUUUGACACAAUAUUGGCGCAAUAUUGUUACAGAUUACGAGGAUCUAAAUUCUACGUUUAUUUAAGCAUGCUGACGUAGAAACAUUUAUCAAGUGACAUGAAAUGAUGCAUUUUGGAAAACGUAAAACGUAUUUGAUUUGCAGUCCAGACACUUGAGGAUAUCACUCAUGAAAUGUUAAAUAUUGUCACUAGACAAAACUUAUAUGAAAACUUUUAAGGAUUCAAACUGCUUGAAGCAUAUAAAGGUUUCUGGGAAACUUAUUUAUAAUCCUUAUAUUGUAUAAGCUUAUUGCUUGAACAUCAUUGGAACUCUUGGAGAGUUUUCAAAGCAAUAGAUUAUUUGCUAAAAUUCAAAAUAUAUCGAAUUGGAUUGGUUAUAAAGUAUUAUAUCUUAGUGCAAUUGAUGCACUCAUGUACCUUGCAAAUACUACAAGGCCUAUAGACUUUUCGGUCAAUUUGUUAACAAGGUAUAUUUCUGCUCCUACUAUGAGUCAUUAAAAUGGGAUAAAACACAUGAUCUUGUUUUAUUCUAAAGAUUGCAGUCUCGGUCUUAUUGGUCAUGAUGAUGUUGAGUACUUAUUUGACCCGCAUAAAGCUCGGUCUUAAAUAAGCUAUAUGUUCAUAUGUGGUUGUACUGUCAUAUCUUGAAAAUAUACAAAGAAGUCUAUCGUAUCCACUUCAUCGAAUCAUGUUGAGAUAACAGCUAUUCAUAAAGCAAGCCGAGAAUGUGUAUGGUUGAGGUCCAUGAUACAUCUCAUUCAAGAAAAAUAUGGUGUAAAAUAUGACAAUCUACCCAUAAUUUUAUACAGAGAUAAUUCAGCAUAUAUAACACAUCUUAAGGAAGGAUUCAUAAAUGGAGAUAGAACGAAACACAUUUUGCCAAAGCUUUUCUACAUACGUGAGUUACAAAAGAAUGAUGAUAUUAACGUGUAACAGAUUCGUUCAACUGACAAUGUGACUGAUUUAUUCACCAAAUCUUCUCUAAUUACAACUUUUAAGAAGAUGUUGCACAAGAUCGAGAUGCAAAGGUCAAGGAUGUUCUCAUUAGGGGGAGUUAAUAUGUGUUGUACUCUUUUUCUCUUACGAGGUUUUGUCCCACUGGUUUUCCUUGUAGGGUUUUUAAUGAGGCAACCGAAAUGCGUAUUAUUAGAGAUGUCUACUCAUUUUCCUUCACUAGAUUUUUUUUCCUACUGGAUUUUUUCUAGUAAGGUUUUAACGAGGCACAUUAUCUACCAAUUAGACAUUCAAGGGGGAGUUUUAUAAAUUUAUUUACAUUAUAGUGAAUGUCUAUCAAGAUCUACUUUGAUAUAUAUUAGGAUUUGAAGCAUCCGUCUUUUACUCAGACUAGGAGUAAAUUUUCCCUAUAAAUAAAGGGAUUUUGUUCAUUAUAUUGACAAUCUAAUGAUCUCUCAUCCCUCAAGAGAAGAAAUAAGAAUCACUCUCUUUCUUCUCUCUACUCUUCUUCUUUAUUCUUUCUUGUUUUAUAACAUAUUCAAAUUAGAUAUAAAUGUUGAUGAUUUUCUCCUUUUUCUCUCUCCUCAGUAUCUCACCUCUCUUUUUUUCUGUUCUAUAUCUUUCGUGUUUUUUUUUUUUGAAAUUUUAUAUUUUAUCUUAUUUUCAUUUUUUUUCCUGAAAUUUCAUUUGUAUUUGUAUAAAUGGAUCUGUAUAUUAUUUGUAUUUGGUUUAGUCUAUCAUAUAUAAAAUAUAAAAUACUUUAUUUGUAUUUGUAUGACAAACUUAUCAUUCGUAAUUGCCUUUGUAAUUUUAUAUGCAUACAAGUUUCUUCAAAUUCUUCUUCCAAUUCAUGCGAAAAAAGGUUUCAAUAUAUAUACUAUAUAAUGUUUGUAUGUAUGUAUGUAUGUGUGUGUGUCUGCCUAUAUGUAUUCUUUUUUUGUUAGUUACACACAAGUAUAUAUAUCAUGUCAAUUUUUUUUCUAUACAAAUAAUCGUCAUAUACAAUUAGAAAGUUGUCAUGUAUUGGCAUAUACUACAUAAACACAUAUAAAAUAUACAUAUAAGUUGUAUAAUUAGUUUUUCUUUUGUAUAAAAUAUACUGACGCAUAUUUUAUACAUUACAUAUAGGUAUACAAUUAUCAUGUGUUUGUACAUAACUCAAAGGUAUUUUGUAUAAAUUAUAUUUAGUCAUAAAGUGAAUUUGUUUGUAUAUUUCUAUCAGUACGUUUGUAUUUUUGAAUUUAUUUUGAUUUUCACAUACAUUUUGAAUUUGUAUAUAUUUAUACAUUUAUUUUAUAUGUUUAUAAAAAUAAUCUGAAUUUAUAUUUAUUUUAUACAUUUGAAUUUGCAUCAACUUGUAUUUAUCUUGAAGGUAUGAGUUGUAACCGUUUGUAUUUGUAUUUGAAUGUAAAAUUCAGAGCUAAUUUCAUUUGUAUUAAUUUUACAUUUGUAUUGUUACUCAUAGCUAAUUUUCAUAAAUAAAUACAUUGAAUGUAUAAAUACACUAAAAUUAUAUUUUAAAUUUUGAAGUCAUACGAAGAAAUCAGAAAAAUUUUAGUUUGAAUUCGAUUUUUGUAUUUCAAAAAUUAAAAGGUAAGUUAUAACAUUCUUUUAUCUCUAAAUAUAAAUAAAAUAGUAGUAAUAAAACCUGUUAGUUAAUAUUUAUAUAUUACAGUCCUAAAUACAUUUAAUCACUAACUAAAAUCUAUAAAAUGUAAUCUCUAAAAGUUAGACUAAGAGGGUGUUUAGAUAGGAUUAAAAUCUGGUCAAACUAGAUUUUAAUCACUUUUUUAAUUUUUUUAGGUGUUUGGUAAAAUUAAAAAGAGUUUAAAAAAAGCUAAAAGUAGAAUAAAAAAAGCAAAAAUUGAGAAACUGAAUACCCCCAACUUUUUACUUUUUAGAUUAAUUUUUUUUUAGGUUUGACCAAAAUAUUUACCUUUUUAUCCCUUAUAUUUUCUUCUAAUUCCAACAAUACCCUAAAAUUUGUAGCCCUUAUUAAUUUUUCUUUCUUUUUCUUUUUGCCAAUUUUUUUCCAUCUUUUUCCUCCAAUUUUCUCUUCAUCUUUCUCCUUUAUUUAAAGAGAAUCCAUCAUUACACAAGAAAAUACUAAAAAAAUUUAUUGCCAAAUUGAGCUUGUGGUAAGUUCUUUUCUAUCCGUUCAUAUAGAAUCUCUGCAUUUUAUUUAAAUUUAUAAAGAUUCUUUUUAAUAGUUUGUUUUAUUCCUAAAUUUUUUUUGUUGUUUACAAGCUUGCAAAUUACAAUAUAAUACUAUAUUUAUAGAAAAAAUAUCUUAAAAUUUUUAUUUUUUAAUAUUUAAAAAUAAAAAAGUAACUUAUAUUUAUAAAUUGACCCGGCAUAAUCACUUUACGCUGAAAGUGUAUUUAAAUAGGAAUUAUUUUUGAAGUAUUAGAAUUAAAAGUCAUAAAUAAUUCACGUUAUUAUGUGUUAACAGCUUUAAGGAUAUUUAAGUCAUUUUGACAACAAAAAAGUGAUUGACAACACUUGUUUACCAAACACAUCAACAUAUUUUUUUUCAGUUUCAGCACUUCUAUUCAAAUACUUAUCUGCUUAAUUUAAAAGUACUUAUUUUAAACUUUUAAUCACUUAAGCUAAAAAAUAUUUUUUUUAAUCCUAACCAAACGGGCGCUAACAAGCUAGUUAAAAAGGAUAUCUUUUUAUCCCUUAUAUUUUCUUCUAAUUCCAACAAUACCCUAAAAUUUGUAGCCCUUAUUAAUUUUUCUUUCUUUUUCUUUUUGCCAAUUUUUUUCCAUCUUUUUCCUCCAAUUUUCUCUUCAUCUUUCUCCUUUAUUUAAAGAGAAUCCAUCAUUACACAAGAAAAUACUAAAAAAAUUUAUUGCCAAAUUGAGCUUGUGGUAAGUUCUUUUCUAUCCGUUCAUAUAGAAUCUCUGCAUUUUAUUUAAAUUUAUAAAGAUUCUUUUUAAUAGUUUGUUUUAUUCCUAAAUUUUUUUUGUUGUUUACAAGCUUGCAAAUUACAAUAUAAUACUAUAUUUAUAGAAAAAAUAUCUUAAAAUUUUUAUUUUUUAAUAUUUAAAAAUAAAAUUUUCAGUUUCAGCACUUCUAUUCAAAUACUUAUCUGCUUAAUUUAAAAGUACUUAUUUUAAACUUUUAAUCACUUAAGCUAAAAAAUAUUUUUUUUAAUCCUAACCAAACGGGCGCUAACAAGCUAGUUAAAAAGGAUAUAAGUUGACUAUAUAUAUAUAAAAAAAAAAUCUUUUAAACUGUUGUUUUGAGAAAUAAUUAAGGACUUCGAUUUAUCAUGCCAUUUAAUUUUUCCUUUUAGAUGAGGAUUUGAUUUGAUUUGGACUUUUGGUCCAUCUUGACUUUAGGAAACCCAGUUUUAAAGAAAAAAGGCAAGCCCACAAAGUCAGCCUGGGCCACUGAGCUACAGUGUAAUUUUGGCUGAAGAAUGUUCGACUAGCCACCUUGUACUAGGUAGGUCUUUUUUUCUUUUGAUUUCUCAUCCGAUAUUCGGUAUUUGUAUUGGAACCCGACUAAUUUGAAUUCGCAUCGGGUAGGAUCCACUCGGGAAUUGUGCUCCCUACCGAAGAUUUUUCCAUAUUCAGAGCUCGAAUCAGAGACCUCUGGUUGAAGAAGAAACAACCUCAUCUAUUGCACCACAUCCUUUAGUGGUACUACGUAGCUCUAAUCUUAUUUUAAAAGAAAUAAUCCCAAACCUUAAUUACUACAAGGAAAUUAAAUUCUUUAAGGAUACACAAUAAACUUUAUGAAUUCAGAAGAAACUUUGAUUUAAAUAUUAUUGGUUAAGCAUGCCUGUUUACCUACAAAUACCGGUCUAAUUACUCUAUGUUAAGAACACAGUGAAUAACACGUAUAACUUCGUUUUUAUGGAACUUUAAUGAUGUGAUGCUACAACUAUAUUUAUAUAUGUACGACUUUAGUACUCUGCCAAGUGCCAAAUGCAAAUAUAAAUAUAACCGCAGAACAAAAAGAAAAACGUGAAGGUAAAAAAACACAUUCAAAGUAAUCUUAUUUUUUUAAUUAUCGAUAUGUAAGUUUCCGAUCUGAUUUAUCAUCAAUAAUUUACUAAAAUAUGCUUUAAUUAUCAAUUGUUCUCACAUUUCCUACAUGAAAAUAUCAUCAUCGCUCAACUAGGAAAAAUGAAUAACUGAUAGUUGAGGUGUGUUUGAUAAAUAAUUUGGCGAUAAUUUGUAUAUGAAGUCAAAAAAUGAAGAUAUUUUAAGUGUAUUUUUUUAACUAUUACUAAUUGAAAAGAAAAAAGAACUUGGAUGCACCUAAGGAUAGCCUAGUAGCAAAUUAAGUGGGUUGAAUACUUGAGGUCUCCGGUGUCAGGUUCUAGCUAGACAAAAUAAUUGUAUCCAUUUGUCCUAACUAGUUAUCUAAUAUAUCUUCUUCGAUAAAAAACACUAGGUGAUUCUUCAACUGUAUUGGCUUGGUGGGCAGAGUUAUUUGAUAUUCAUUGUUGGACAAAAAUACACUAGAUGAUUUUUUCUGUCUAUCUUAGCUUGAUCAAUAGAGUUACUUGAUAUCUGUUAUUGGUGGAAGGUGAUCGAUGUCUCGUGAAUUUAGUCAAUGUGCAUGAAAACUGAUCCGAACACGAAACUAUUUCCCCAAAAAGAAGGAAUAAAGAUAUUGGACAUGCAGGAUACGGAUCUUUUGUACAAGUAUGACCAUGUCAAAGUGGGCUGGACUAUUCCUAAGAUCCAGGGGCUUAAAGUUGGACCUUGACUAUGAGACUUUAUUAAGAAAGCCCAAAGACAAAAAGAGUCACUUUCACUUCACUAAAUUGGAGAUAGUACCUCCUUAUCUAAGUAUGCAUGUGCUAAGAUAGUCAACUGUAAGGAGACAAUCCAACUAAGCCUUCAACUUUUUCAUUUCUAUAUAAAUCACUAUAAACAAAUUAAUAUAAGCUCUCUUUGUUACUCAAUUGUCCUUUUGUCCCUUUCUGAUGUAAUAAAUAUUGGUCAAAGCCCUUCUUUUCAAGUAAUCCUUCACUUGAAUUAAGACUAGAGCGAGUAAACACUCCACACUCCACAUGAUAGCCAAUUUACUUUGAACAUUUACAUUCACAUAAUUAACAUUGAUUAAUAUAUAUAUAUAUAUAUAUAUAUAUCAAGUCAUUUAAACACACAAUUGUCAUAAUAAAUAGUAUUAGCAAGCUAUUAAAUAUUUUAAAACCAUAGAGUUAAAAUCUAAGCAUUGAUAUUUGAAGUCGUUAUUCCAAAAUUUAAAAUCAAUAAAAUCGAAAAUCUAACUACAUUUUUAUACUCAUACCUUGCAAGAGCAGAGUUUUCGGGUUCGAGUUUUGGAUAUGGAAAAAUCUUUGAUAGGGAGCGUUUUCCUCCGAUGGGGUCCUACAUGAAGCAAAUUCAGAUUAAUCGAACUUCGAUGCGGGUACCGAACAUCAAAUGAGAACAAAAAAAAUUACAUCCAAUAAUUUUAAAUUAGUGAUUUUAAACUUUUGACCUCUAACUCUCAUGAACAAACUUUCAAGGUUAAUGGCCAAAAUCACAUCAGCCACCUCAGCUAAAAGGAAUGCCAUAUCAGCAAAUAGUUUAAGGCUUUUUAUGGUUUACAUAGUGAAAAUUAUUUUAUUUAUUUGUUACUAUUUUAUUUUUAAAAUCAGACCGCAUGAAUUUUAAUUAACAUAUUAAAAUGUAUCUUUUUAUUAUAUUAAUAUGUGAAAAAUCACAACUUAUAACAUUUCUUAUAUAAUUUAUGAUAAUUUAAAUUUAAAAAUUUAAAUUAUUCAUUUUAAAAUACUAAUUAACAUUUAUACUUAGCGAAAUAGUAGUAAUAAGUUAAAGUAAAUAGAUGGUUAGUACAUGUAAUUACGACUUUUUAACGUACUCUUUUUACAGAUCACGCGCCACUACUGCGCAGCUUUCCAUGAUAUGCGUGGAAGCAUCUUUAGCUAAGAUUAUCGAAAAUGCGGCUAACGAGGAAGAACAAUUGCCCACCCUCUCUUUCAGCGCGUUCAUACACUCAACAUAUUGUAUAUCUCGUUUCUCGAUUGAUGU